GGCUCAAUGGUCUAGUGGUAUGAUUCUUGCUUUGGGUAGCUUCGUGCUCCGUUCUGCAAGAGGUCCUUGGUAAGCCCCCGAUGAAGAAUGCUAGUAAUUUACCCGCACGGUCCCUAACAAGAACUAGGUUCAAUUCCGAGUUGAGCCC
rnacentral:tRNA from 1 species